rnacentral:lncRNA from 10 species
GUAGACAGUGCGUGCGGGAAGAGGGGAUGGGGGUGGGGAGGCGAGGGCGGUCAGUGGGUUGAGAGGAGUGGGGAGAAGAUUUAGGGCGAGAGAGGUGCCAUCGUGCUGGGGAAGGCGGGACUAGGAGAGGUAAAAGAAUGGGGAGAGAAAUGGGAGGGAGAGAAGGAAGCUGAGGGAGAUUUGAGGAGAGAAGGCGCUUGAGGGGGAACCAGGAGGGGAGAAGGCUUGUGAGGGGGAAAUGUGAGAGGAGAAGGGGCGCGAGGGGGAACAGCGAGGGGAGAAGGGGUCCCGCCUCCUGGCCGCGCCGCCCUAGGUGUCGCCGCCUGGCGGUUACGAGGAGGCCGCCUCCUGCUUGCCGGCCUGGCGGUCCUACUCAACACCGCAAGAUUUCAAAAGGGAAAUUCCUCCAGGGCUGAGUCACAGGGAAGAAAGCGAUUUCCUCCGCCUCUUCCAAAGCGGUUGUGGGGCUAGACAAGAAGGAAAAAAAUCACUGUCCUCAUGGAAGUUAAAUUGUACUGACAAAGGAGGAAAAUGUCAGGGAGUUAACAAUUCAGUCUCUGUGGCUUCCUCCUGUCCUCUCCCUGAAACUGAGAUCCAGCCAAUCUGCACAUUUAUUCUGAGAGUGGCCCCACUUUAAUGACUACACCCAGCUGUCUACACACCAGGAGGGGAGGGAACUGUAUCCUGAGGCACCAACCCGAUUACCCACCCAACAGCCACAGGGACUUCCAGUGACUGGGGCAUCAUCCUCAAUGCCACCAACCCCUCUCCUUCCUGUGGCUUUUCUAACUGGAACUGGAACUCAGAAAGUACAUUAAUCACCAAUUUGGGAAGCUAUAGGAAAGUAUGUUUUCUAAUAUACAGUGAGAGAAUGUGACUGAUAAAACCAAUUUUCUUGAGACUUUCUCCCUGGAAAGUGAAUAUAUGUAUUCAUAGGGCCUUCACAAGCACAGACUAACAAGCAAAGAGCUACAUUCACUGGGAAGGAAGACUCAAAAUUUAAAAAUAGAAAAAAAAAUGAUGGCCCAGAAGAGCAAGUUCAGAGUGCUGUUCAUGAGUGAUCCGCAUGGGACCGCGAUGCCUCUGACGUCUGCCAUCCUGGAGAGCAGCAGAGCGUCACUAGCAGAGCAGAUAGUCAGAUCUCUGUGGGAUAUCUGGCUGCCUGAAUGUCCAUGGAUCACACGCUUGUUCUGUUCAGAAGAAAUCAGUCUCAG